AAUCCAUAGGUUAAUGAGGCGAACCGGGGGAACUGAAACAUCUAAGUACCCCGAGGAAAAGAAAUCAACCGAGAUUCCCCCAGUAGCGGCGAGCGAACGGGGAGGAGCCCAGAGCCUGAAUCAGCAUGUGUGUUAGUGGAAGCGUCUGGAAAGGCGCGCGAUACAGGGUGACAGCCCCGUACACAAAAGCGCAUGUGCUGUGAGCUCGAUGAGUAGGGCGGGACACGUGGUAUCCUGUCUGAAUAUGGGGGGACCAUCCUCCAAGGCUAAAUACUCCUGACUGACCGAUAGUGAACCAGUACCGUGAGGGAAAGGCGAAAAGAACCCCGGCGAGGGGAGUGAAAAAGAACCUGAAACCGUGUACGUACAAGCAGUGGGAGCACCCUUUGGGGUGUGACUGCGUACCUUUUGUAUAAUGGGUCAGCGACUUAUAUUCUGUAGCAAGGUUAACCGUAUAGGGGAGCCGGAGGGAAACCGAGUCUUAAUUGGGCGUUAAGUUGCAGGGUAUAGACCCGAAACCCGGUGAUCUAGCCAUGGGCAGGUUGAAGGUUGGGUAACACUAACUGGAGGACCGAACCGACUAAUGUUGAAAAAUUAGCGGAUGACCUGUGGCUGGGGGUGAAAGGCCAAUCAAACCGGGAGAUAGCUGGUUCUCCCCGAAAGCUAUUUAGGUAGCGCCUCGUGAAUUCAUCUCCGGGGGUAGAGCACUGUUUCGGCUAGGGGGCCAUCCCGGCUUACCAACCCGAUGCAAACUGCGAAUACCGGAGAAUGUUAUCACGGGAGACACACGGCGGGUGCUAACGUCCGUCGUGAAGAGGGAAACAACCCAGACCGCCAGCUAAGGUCCCAAAGUCAUGGUUAAGUGGGAAACGAUGUGGGAAGGCCCAGACAGCCAGGAUGUUGGCUUAGAAGCAGCCAUCAUUUAAAGAAAGCGUAAUAGCUCACUGGUCGAGUCGGCCUGCGCGGAAGAUGUAACGGGGCUAAACCAUGCACCGAAGCUGCGGCAGCGACGCUUAUGCGUUGUUGGGUAGGGGAGCGUUCUGUAAGCCUGUGAAGGUGGCCUGUGAGGGUUGCUGGAGGUAUCAGAAGUGCGAAUGCUGACAUAAGUAACGAUAAAGCGGGUGAAAAGCCCGCUCGCCGGAAGACCAAGGGUUCCUGUCCAACGUUAAUCGGGGCAGGGUGAGUCGACCCCUAAGGCGAGGCCGAAAGGCGUAGUCGAUGGGAAACGGGUUAAUAUUCCCGUACUUGGUGUUACUGCGAAGGGGGGACGGAGAAGGCUAUGUUGGCCGGGCGACGGUUGUCCCGGUUUAAGCGUGUAGGUGUGUGUUCCAGGUAAAUCCGGUUCACUUUAACACUGAGGCGUGACGACGAGGCACUACGGUGCUGAAGCAACAAAUGCCCUGCUUCCAGGAAAAGCCUCUAAGCAUCAGGUAACAUCAAAUCGUACCCCAAACCGACACAGGUGGUCAGGUAGAGAAUACCAAGGCGCUUGAGAGAACUCGGGUGAAGGAACUAGGCAAAAUGGUGCCGUAACUUCGGGAGAAGGCACGCUGACACGUAGGUGAAGUGAUUUACUCACGGAGCUGAAGUCAGUCGAAGAUACCAGCUGGCUGCAACUGUUUAUUAAAAACACAGCACUGUGCAAACACGAAAGUGGACGUAUACGGUGUGACGCCUGCCCGGUGCCGGAAGGUUAAUUGAUGGGGUCAGCGCAAGCGAAGCUCCUGAUCGAAGCCCCGGUAAACGGCGGCCGUAACUAUAACGGUCCUAAGGUAGCGAAAUUCCUUGUCGGGUAAGUUCCGACCUGCACGAAUGGCGUAAUGAUGGCCAGGCUGUCUCCACCCGAGACUCAGUGAAAUUGAACUCGCUGUGAAGAUGCAGUGUACCCGCGGCAAGACGGAAAGACCCCGUGAACCUUUACUAUAGCUUGACACUGAACAUUGAGCCUUGAUGUGUAGGAUAGGUGGGAGGCUUUGAAGUGUGGACGCCAGUCUGCAUGGAGCCGACCUUGAAAUACCACCCUUUAAUGUUUGAUGUUCUAACGUGGACCCGUUACCCGGGUUGCGGACAGUGUCUGGUGGGUAGUUUGACUGGGGCGGUCUCCUCCUAAAGAGUAACGGAGGAGCACGAAGGUUGGCUAAUCCUGGUCGGACAUCAGGAGGUUAGUGCAAUGGCAUAAGCCAGCUUGACUGCGAGCGUGACGGCGCGAGCAGGUGCGAAAGCAGGUCAUAGUGAUCCGGUGGUUCUGAAUGGAAGGGCCAUCGCUCAACGGAUAAAAGGUACUCCGGGGAUAACAGGCUGAUACCGCCCAAGAGUUCAUAUCGACGGCGGUGUUUGGCACCUCGAUGUCGGCUCAUCACAUCCUGGGGCUGAAGUAGGUCCCAAGGGUAUGGCUGUUCGCCAUUUAAAGUGGUACGCGAGCUGGGUUUAGAACGUCGUGAGACAGUUCGGUCCCUAUCUGCCGUGGGCGCUGGAGAACUGAGGGGGGCUGCUCCUAGUACGAGAGGACCGGAGUGGACGCAUCACUGGUGUUCGGGUUGUCAUGCCAAUGGCACUGCCCGGUAGCUAAAUGCGGAAGAGAUAAGUGCUGAAAGCAUCUAAGCACGAAACUUGCCCCGA
rnacentral:rRNA from 1 species